GAUGAAGAACUUAGCGAAAUGCGAUACGUAAUGUGAAUUGCAGAAUUCAGUGAAUCAUCGAGUCUUUGAACGCACAUUGCGCCCUCUGGUAUUCCGGAGGGCAUGCCUGUCCGAGCGUCAUUGCUGCCCUCAAGCACGGCUUGUGUGUUGGGCUCCGUCCCCCGAUCCCGGGGGACGGGCCCGAAAGGCAGCGGCGGCACCGCGUCCGGUCCUCGAGCGUAUGGGGCUUUGUCACCCGCUCUGUAGGCCCGGCCGGCGCUUGCCGAUCAACCAAAUUUUUAUCCAGGUUGACCUCGGAUCAGGUAGGGAUACCCGCUGAACUUAAGCAUAUCAAUAAGCGAAGGA
rnacentral:misc_RNA from 1 species